UCAGGCCUAACACAUGCAAGUCGAGGGGUACAGUAGCAAUACUGGAGACCGGCGCACGGGUGCGUAACGCGUAUGCAAUCUACCUUUUACAGGGGGAUAGCCCAGAGAAAUUUGGAUUAAUACCCCAUAGUAUAUAACCUUCGCAUGUUGGUUAUAUUAAAGUUCCAACGGUAAAAGAUGAGCAUGCGUCCCAUUAGCUAGAUGGUAAGGUAACGGCUUACCAUGGCUACGAUGGGUAGGGGUCCUGAGAGGGAGAUCCCCCACACUGGUACUGAGACACGGACCAGACUCCUACGGGAGGCAGCAGUGAGGAAUAUUGGACAAUGGGCGCAAGCCUGAUCCAGCCAUGCCGCGUGCAGGAAGACGGUCCUAUGGAUUGUAAAGUGCUUUGUACGGGAAGAAACACUCCAACGUGUGGAGCUGAC
rnacentral:rRNA from 1 species